ACAAGGUAUGUCCUCUUUCCCCCUUCUCCUUUCUCUUCCUAGCUUCUUUGAGAUCCUUGUCGGUUGGAUGGCCACCAGAUUUCAUGAACAAGGUUUCCCUUGUUCCUAUCUUCAAUUCUUUUCUUUCUUUCCACCGGAGCAGCUGCCGUCAUCGGCCAUAUUCGGCUGCCAAAGGUCAAGAUCGUUGGGUUCCACCAUCGCAAGGGGUGGUUACUGUUUGGGCUCGCCAUCGUGGGAUGGUUGGCCGAAUUUUUUUUUCCUCUCCUAUUUUCCACGAAGAAGAAGAAGAAGAAAGAAAAGAG
rnacentral:lncRNA from 1 species